CCAGAUGUUGAUGUUGGCAGCACUUAAGAGGGUCACAGGACGUUUAAAAUCACUAGGCUGUGGUGAAUAAAAUUCCAGAUCAACAGAAGAGAUUCUUGGGUCCUAGAGACCAAAGAAAGAAUCAGCAGGAAUGCCCAGGGUGAAUGAUGGAUUGCAGAGCCUGGCUGGGUGGGUGAUUAUACUCGAGAAUGCACUUAAUUACAAGCUUUAUGUGUCUAGCAUCCAUUCAGCCUACGUCCUCUUCACUGCACCUAACAUCAUCUAUGGAAUUUCAUUUGCAGGUUUUGGGAAGUCUAAAGCUGUCACAUUUGAAAUCUGC